rnacentral:rRNA from 1 species
UUCUGGUGCCAGCAGCCGCGGUAAUACGGGAGUGGCAAGCGUUAUCCGGAAUUAUUGGGCGUAAAGCGUCCGCAGGCGGCCCAGAAAGUCUGCUGUUAAAAAGUGGAGCUUAACUCCAUCAUGGCAGUGGAAACUUCUGGGCUAGAGUGUGGUAGGGGCAGAGGGAAUUCCCGGUGUAGCGGUGAAAUGCGUAGAUAUCGGGAAGAACACCAGUGGCGAAGGCGCUCUGCUGGGCCAUAACUGACGCUCAUGGACGAAAGCCAGGGGAGCGAAAGGGAUUAGAUACCCCUGUAGUCCUGGCCGUAAACGAUGAACACUAGGUGUCGGGGGAAUCGACCCCUCCGGUGUCGUAGCCAACGCGUUAAGUGUUCCGCCUGGGGAGUACGCACGCAAGUGUGAAACUCAAAGGAAUUGACGGGGGGGGGCACCAAAAA